GUUAGGAUCACACCUUGUAGUAGGUGGAAUACUCGGCCUGUACUGCUGGAAAUCAUCUUAGCGGGAGGCGAGUUAAUAACGGUGUCGAUGUUGCCCUCUAGAACAACCUGAGCCCGGGUCGGACGGGCAGCAUGCCGGCUAAUUGCCGAGAAGGACACUAGGUUGUCCAGAGCAACGCCAGUUGCGGCUGCCGGGUUGAAGGAGUUAUACACCAUCUGGAUAACUUCCCAGAUAGCUUCGUCCGAUGGAGCAACUACGCCGAUCAGACGGCCUAGAGCAGAGUUACCAGACGUGUCAACUUCGUCUCCAGUUGAAACUAGGUCGGCGAAGACCUGAGAGGCUACGUUUCUGUAGUCUGUCAGGAUUUGGUCCAAGUCUUUAAUCGUUAGACCUUCUGCUGU
rnacentral:sRNA from 1 species